GACGAACGCUGGCGGCGUGCUUAACACAUGCAAGUCGAACGGAAAGGCCCUGCUUUUGUGGGGUGCUCGAGUGGCGAACGGGUGAGUAACACGUGAGUAACCUGCCCUUGACUUUGGGAUAACUUCAGGAAACUGGGGCUAAUACCGGAUAGGAGCUCCUGCUGCAUGGUGGGGGUUGGAAAGUUUCGGCGGUUGGGGAUGGACUCGCGGCUUAUCAGCUUGUUGGUGGGGUAGUGGCUUACCAAGGCUUUGACGGGUAGCCGGCCUGAGAGGGUGACCGGCCACGUUGGGACUGAGAUACGGCCCAGACUCCUACGGGAGGCAGAAGUGGGGAAUAUUGCACAAUGGGCGGAAGCCUGAUGCAGCAACGCAGCGUGCGGGAUGACGGCCUUCGGGUUGUAAACCGCUUUCGCCUGUGACGAAGCGUGAGUGACGGUAAUGGGUAAAGAAGCACCGGCUAACUACGUG
rnacentral:rRNA from 1 species